rnacentral:lncRNA from 1 species
UUUACUUUCACCCCUUUCUUGCAUGCUUUGAUCCAAGGAGCAGCCUGGCAGAGAGACGCAACUGGAGAGAGAGUCAUCACAGUGCAAAAUACGUGGUUCUUGAAAUCAUGCUAGGAGUUUAACGUGAGGAGCAGAAAUAAUUCCUGCUGAAUCAUCAGGACCCUUUCAUCUUUGCCUGAUCUGCAUGUUUACAAUUACAAGGAAGCCAGAAACAUAAGAACCAUUAGAGAAUUCCCAAUAUGGCAGUGUGCAGGAACAUCUCUGGACCAUUGUGUCCACAGUGGCACAGGAGAACAACCUUCUCCAGAGUCUGUCUGAUGCAGUGAAAUGUCCUGUUUAUUUGAUGGAAGGAAUGAGAAAGGUACUCUACAAAGGAGCAAGGUC